GGGAUUCAGAUUUGAGGGUAACAGUCGCCAGAGAAACCCUAACUCUAGGUUUUCUUGUUUUUUGAAUUUGUGGCUCAGCGUUCUUGAAACCCAGUAGUGAAUCAUCAGAUUCGCUCUUACAUUCGAUCGGUUUUGGAGAUUUUAAGGAAUACCAGACGGUUUUUUUUGUGAUAAUCGAAGAUGUCUCGAUGCCUUCCUUUCCCUCCUCCAGGUUAUGUGAGGAACGGGUCAUCCGGCGAGGCCUUGAUCGAAUCGAUUAAGAAGAUGUGAAUGCAUAAAUUUUAAUUGGGCUAAACCAAAAGCAUGCUUGUAUAGCUUGUUUGCUUCUUUGGUUUUUCGUAUCUUCUAUUUGAAAAUGCUGUUCUGGUGAUAUAAAGCUCCAAAAUGAGAAGGCCAAGAAAGAGAGGAAGAAAGAGAAAAGGAGGGAAAAAAAGGCGAAAAGGAAAGAGCUUAAAGUACAGGAAGGAACAUUCUCCCAUACCAGUGAUGGAACAGAGUUCAAGCUCAUUGAAUUGGAGAAAGUCAAGAGAGAGAAAAGCAGCGGUUGUCUGCAAAAGGGUGAUGACAAUGAGAAUGUACAACUAGAGAGGAGUGAUAUUACAGAGGAACAUGACAAUUCAGUUGCUACGGUGGGACCUUUCUCCUCUGACAGUACCCAGAAUAGCAGCAAGAGGAAAAGGAGCACCUCGCCAUGUAGUCAUGAUCAUGGAGCUAUGGUAAAAAUUCGAUAUUCAAUCAGAAAACAUAUAGAACCUGAAGAAUCCAAACUAGAAGAUCGGUUGGGAUCUUCUUCCAAAAAUGUUGGAACUGUAGAUCCCUUCGCUCAAGAUGCUAAUGGAAGAUAUCAUCAGUUACGAUGUGUAACAAAUGCUGAGAGAGACCAGUGCCCGGGAAAUUCUUAUUCUAGGCAUUGUGAAGAAUUACAGCGUUCACUCGAUGGAGCUGACCCGAAGACAAAUAUGAUUGAAGAUGAAAGUUCGAGAAUAUUAUCGGUUUAUAACUCUCUAUUUCAGAAUUGGGUUCCUCCUCCACUUAUGUGUGAUGGAUUCAAGUCAAUGGAUCAGGACUGGCUCCUCAGCUCGGAACUGCAAAAUGAAAGGCCCGUUUCUAAAAAGGCGAAACAUAUGAAUGGUGCCUUGCGGUGUUCAAGCCCAUCUCUGUGGCCUCGUGCUCAGUACUUACCCGAGAUUGAACUAUAUGCGUUGCCAUAUGCUGUUCCAUUUUGAUUCUGAUAAAGUCAUGUAGAUGGAAUAGACCGUAGUAUGUAGGCAGUCGGGUUAAUUGUAGGUGUUAUUUUAUUUGUUUUAUCUUUUUCAAGAGAAAGCACCCAUGUGACGUGAGAACGCCGAUUUUGUAAUAAUUCUUUUCUAUAGCAUGAUUUCACCUACAAU